rnacentral:rRNA from 1 species
CCUAAUACAUGCAAGUCGAGCGAACAGAUAAGGAGCUUGCUCCUUUGACGUUAGCGGCGGACGGGUGAGUAACACGUGGGUAACCUACCUAUAAGACUGGAAUAACUCCGGGAAACCGGGGCUAAUGCCGGAUAACUGAACCGCAUGGUUCUACAGUGAAAGACGGUCUUGCUGUCACUUAUAGAUGGACCCGCGCCGUAUUAGCUAGUUGGUGGGGUAACGGCCUACCAAGGCGACGAUACGUAGCCGACCUGAGAGGGUGAUCGGCCACAAACUGAGACACGGUCCAGACUCCUACGGGAGGCAGCAGUAGGGAAUCUUCCGCAAUGGGCGAAAGCCUGACGGAGCAACGCCGCGUGAGUGAUGAAGGUCUUCGGAUCGUAAAGCUCUGUUGUUAGGGAAGAACAAGUAAGUAACUGUGCACAUCUUGACGGUACCUAACCAGAAAGCCACGGCUAACUACGUGCCAGCAGCCGCGGUAAUACGUAGGUGGCAAGCGUUAUCCGGAAUUAUUGGGCGUAAAGCGCGCGUAGGCGGUUUUUUAUGAUGUGAAAGCCCACGGCUCAACCGUGGAGGGUCAUUGGAAACUGGAAAACUUGAGUGCAGAAGAGGAAAGUGGAAUUCCAUGUGUAGCGGUGAAAUGCGCAGAGAUAUGGAGGAACACCAGUGGCGAAGGCGGCUGGUCUGCAACUGACGCUGAUGUGCGAAAGCGUGGGGAUCAAACAGGAUUAGAUACCCUGGUAGUCCACGCCGUAAACGAUGAGUGCUAAGUGUUAGGGGGUUUCCGCCCCUUAGUGCUGCAGCUAACGCAUUAAGCCGCCUGGGGAGUACGGUCGCAAGACUGAAACUCAAAGGAAUUGACGGGGACCCGCACAAGCGGUGGAGCAUGUGGUUUAAUUCGAAGCAACGCGAAGAACCUUACCAAAUCUUGACAUCCUUUGACCGCUCUAGAGAGUUUUCCUCUUCGGAGGACAAAGUGACAGGUGGUGCAUGGUUGUCGUCAGCUCGUGUCGUGAGAUGUUGGGUUAAGUCCCGCAACGAGCGCAACCCUUGAACUUAGUUGCCAUCAUUCAGUUGGGCACUCUAAGCUGCCGGUGACAAACCGGAGGAAGGUGGGGAUGACGUCAAAUCAUCAUGCCCCUUAUGAUUUGGGCUA